GGGAAGCAUGUCCUUAAGGUUUCAGGUGUCUUAGGGAAAGGCGAGUGACAACCCCAGCAUACAACAGACCCCCAGGGCCAGCGUGACAACCAGCAGUACAACAGACCCCCAGGGCCAGGACUGAGCAACCCAGCAGUACAACAGACCCCCAUGGCCAGGACUGAGCAACCCAGCAGUACAAAAGCACCCCAGGGCCAGGACUGAGCACCCAGCAGUAACACAGACCCACAGGCCAGGACUGAUCAACCCAGCAGUACAACAACCCCCAGGGCAGGACUUAGCAACCCAGCAGUACAACAGACCCCCAGGCCAGACUAGCAACCCAGCAGUACAACAGACCCCCAGGGCCAGGACGC
rnacentral:lncRNA from 1 species